AUUGAACGCUGGCGGCAGGCCUAACACAUGCAAGUCGAACGGUAACAGGAAGAAGCUUGCUUCUUUGCUGACGAGUGGCGGACGGGUGAGUAAUGUCUGGGAAACUGCCUGAUGGAGGGGGAUAACUACUGGAAACGGUAGCUAAUACCGCAUAACGUCGCAAGACCAAAAAGGGGGACCUUCGGGCCUCUUGCCAUCGGAUGUGCCCAGAUGGGAUUAGCUAGUAGGUGGGGUAACGGCUCACCUAGGCGACGAUCCCUAGCUGGUCUGAGAGGAUGACCAGCCACACUGGAACUGAGACACGGUCCAGACUCCUACGGGAGGCAGCAGUGGGGAAUAUUGCACAAUGGGCGCAAGCCUGAUGCAGCCAUGCCGCGUGUGUGAAGAAGGCCUUCGGGUUGUAAAGUACUUUCAGCGGGGAGGAAGGGAGUAAAGUUAAUACCUUUGCUCAUUGACGUUACCCGCAGAGGAAGCACCGGCUAACUCCGUG
rnacentral:rRNA from 1 species